rnacentral:rRNA from 1 species
UACGUAGGGGGCAAGCGUUGUCCGGAAUUAUUGGGCGUAAAGCGCGUGUAGGCGGCUCGGUAAGUCUGCUGUGAAAGUCCAGGGCUCAACCCUGGAAAGCCGGUGGAUACUGUCGAGCUAGAGUCCGGAAGAGGCGAGUGGAAUUCCUGGUGUAGCGGUGAAAUGCGCAGAUAUCAGGAGGAACACCAGCGGCGAAGGCGGCGCUCUGGGCCGGUACUGACGCUGAGGAGCGAAAGCGUGGGUAGCAAACAGG